AGAGACAUAGGCAGAGGGGAAGCAGGCUUCUCAGGGGGAGCCCCAUGCGAGACUUGAUCCCGGGACCCCAGGAUCACAACCUGAGCCGAAGGCAGACCCUCAACUGCUAAGCCACCCAGGUCUCCCUAUAAGAGGUGUUAUAACUGCACUUUUAACAUGAUUUUUGGGAUGAUUACAUUUCAGUCUGUUGUCUUGGGAUGCCUGGGUGGCUCAGCAGUUGAGCAUCUGCCUUUGGCUCAGGGCGUGAUCCCAGUCCCAGGAUCAAGUCUCGCAUCUGGCACCCUGCGAGGAGUCUGCCUCUCCCUCUAUGUCUCUACCUCUCUCUGUGUGUCUCUCCUGAAUAAAUUUUAAAAAAAAUCUUUAAAAACAAUAAAUCUGUUAUUUUGUCAUUGGGUUUCUACCUGUCCCAUCUUUCUUUGUUUUUUUCCCUUUUUUCUGCCUUCUGAUUUGAGGGGUUUUUGUUUGUUUGUUUUCUUUUCUUUUUGUUUGUUUGUUUGUUUUUAGUCUAUCUUUUAGAGCAGUUUUAGGUGGGGUCUUUGGGAGGUGUCCCACCUCAGUUCCUGGGCAGCCCUGCAGUCAGCCUUGGUUACCGUGGGCUGUGGGAGGUCAGGGCUCACCAUGAUGUAUUCCGUCUCAGGGAUUACCCUCGUCCUUUGCCUGGUGCUGAGCCUUGGGCCCUGUUGUUUCCCGUAUUUUGUCCAGCCUUGUGGUUGUUCCAAGAAGGAGAGCAAAUCUAGUCCCUGUUACUCCAUCUUGGUCGGAAAUAAAAGUCCUCGAGUGUAUGAUUUUAAAAUAAAGAUCACUCCACACAGAAAGCGCCUCGAACGUUCCUUGCAGUGCACAAGGUGGAGACGAUGAGGAAGCACAAGAGCACUCCCCCGUGGGUGCCUGACAUUGGGCACUCUGUGACCUAAAUAAAAUCCUCGGAUGUGUACUUGAACUGUAGGAUUCUUCCGUUUCAAGAGGCAAUAUGGUUUGUGUUCCACUCAGUACCCAGUACCCGCAGUACCCCGCACAGCACUUGGAAGUAACCCUGUCAGUGUUUCUGGAGGAUGGAGAUGAGCAUUCAUACCAAGCAGGACAAGUAGUCUGUUUUUGCUGCCCAGCGGGUUAAGGGAGACCUGUGGUCUAAGAGAGCUUUGAAUUUUGGAAUCGCAGAGGAAGACCUGGGGAGCUGUCUUACCUUCUACCCCCACCCCCGCCACCACCACCACCAUGGGUUGAUAAGGCAGCUCAGCUCCCCCAGGUCCAGUGACUGCCCACAGCCAUCCGGUGGUGGGUGGCAGGCACGGCCCUUCAUCUUAGCCUCCCCUGCAUUUGUCUGCUGUGCUUCCACUGCCUGUCACUCCCAGCCUACCUCUCCUCUCAGGCUGUCCCUAAAAUCUCAAACCCAAGAGUUGUGUUCCGGAGCUCUGCAGUGGGUGAUUUAUGGGACCCGCCCUCUCACUGUGGUCUUCAGCUCAGAGUUCAGCCAAUCCACUGCCCUUAAUACGUGUCCUGAGAUUUAGAUGCCUCUGCUUUAUUUCCGUAAAAUGAAUCCCCAGAGUAGGAUGGCCUGGCCAGAGGGUCUCUGCUGUUUGGAUUGGGUCACAGGUGAGCAGACUGCCGUGCGCCUGCUCCUCCACAGCCUUGCCAGCAGAGUAGGCCUUAGCACUGUUCUCAUCGUGGCAUCGCGCAGUGCUGGAAGACGAGCCUUCCCACUUGUUUCAGAUUGCACUUCCUAAUUAUUAGGGUCUGAGCACUUCGUUCACUGCUCUUGGGGUUUGUACUUUUCGAGUGUUCAUCAUAAUCACUAUUUUCAAGUUCAGUUGUCUUUUUCUUAGUUUAUAGAAGCUUUGUAGAUGAUGUAGUAAUAAUAACACGUUUAUCUGCCAUGUGUGUCAAAACUGUUUUUACCUAGACUACCGCAUUUGCCUCCUGGCUUAGGUUAUUUUUUUAGUUCCACAAUUUGUCAAAUAAAUUAUUUUUUCCUUGCCGGCUUUAGGAUAUCUUGCUGGAAACCCUGCCUCUCCAGCCAACGUAUGCCACAUACAGGAGUCUCCUACUUAUUCUUUGCAGUAUGUCUGCCCCUUCCCUCAUCUAUGCUUAGACCUGCCUUGUAUGUAGGAUGUUUUCUUCCAGAUGAAGACCAACUGUAUCUGCAGAGCUUUGAAACCGUGCAGCCUUUCACCCUGACUGAA